GCGGGCGUAGCUCAGUGGUAGAGCACAACCUUGCCAAGGUUGGGGUCGAGGGUUCGAAUCCCUUCGCCCGCUCCA
rnacentral:tRNA from 21 species